rnacentral:tRNA from 1 species
GGAGGAUUGGCCGAGUCCGGGAAGGCAUCCGUCUCGAAAACGGUGGUCGGGCGUGACGAGCGCCCGCGCAGGUUCGAAUCCUGCAUCCUCCG